UCACUGAACCACAAGGUCAAAAACACCAGGUUUAAAAAUAAAUUGAAAGGCCUCAUUAUGGACAACUUUUAUUUUGCUACGCAUCACUGUGAUUAUUUAUUUCCGCGUUUCCAUUUCCACAACUUCAAAGCAAAGUUUAUGCUCCUGAAACCUUCAAGAAGUUUAUUUAACACGACGACAACAUUAGAAGUCUUGUUUUGCUAUAGUUACAUGUAUGUAAAUGUUGUGCAGUGUCUCUCCUGCUACGUGAUCAGGACACUUCAGUUACAGCAGUGUCGUCUAUGGUUCAUGUGGUACGUAAAUCGUAAUACUUAAAGGGGUAGUUCUGCCACCACGUACUCACCUAUUACUUUAUUCCGAGGAACACAAAAGAAAAAUGUUAGGAAUAUUGAGAGCCUCAGUCAUUAUUUGCAUUCGUUGUACGGGAAGAAGAUGCAGUGAAAGUAAAUGGUGUCUGAGGUUGUCAGUCCCUCUCAUUAUGCCUAUUGCCCGAUAUAUCCCUUUGUGUUCCACAGAA